GGUUCUAUGGUGUAGUGGUUAUCACAUCUGCCUUACACGCAGGAGAUCCUGGGUUCGAUUCCCAGUGGAACCA